GUGUACCCCGCCUCCUGCCCGAUGAUUGCUGGGAUAGGCUCCAGCACGCCCGCGACCCUAGUGAGGAGAAGCGGCUCAGAAAAUGGAUGGAUGUUCUAUUUUGGUCACUUCGGUGCACUUCUUUGCUUGAUCAAUCAAUGAUGAUUCUUGUAAUCAAAACAAUCAUUUUCAUACAAAGCUGAAUUAGGUUUUUUAAUUUUUUUUUUUUUUUUUUAAGGGGAAGGUAAAAUAAAACAUCAUUAAUUACGAUAGCUAUUUUCCCAGAAUUGUUUAUUAGCCUAUGAAAAUAAAAUUCAUAUUCAAAUAUGUUGUAUAGUUAUUUUUACCUGCAUGGAUGACGUAAUAAGGUCAGUGGCGACGUAAUAUUUCACGCAUGCGCUGUAGUCCCUGCGGGCAAGGCUUAUUUCUGUGACGUCACUAGUGCGACACAGACGAGGCAAGCAAAACUAAACAGUCGUUGCAUCCAACCAGAACCCUAAAAGAUUUAGAACCCCAGGACUCAAAAACACUCAUUAAACCACACUCAUAAUACAAUUAUUCAAACUUAUUAAACCGCCUAGGGACUUCCGCCACGCACGCGACACCAGAAACGACCGCCGUUGCCUCGAGAGGAGUAACGGACAUGUAACAGCUCAAUGUUGGGUUCAAAAUGGAGAAAAAAGCGACAUUACUACCCAUUUCUGCACCAUGAAGACAAAUAACAAUGAGGCAGACAACGCCUGGUGAGAGAACUGAAGAAAAACAAGUUGAGAGUGCCAGAGAGAGAGAGCCAGAGGGCUUGAGAGACACUGGUUGUCAGGGAGAGCACACAGAGCAGGAAAGAGAGACAGUAGAAGAUACUGAGAGUGACAAACAAGCGGAGUGUAAGACACAUACAGAGAAUAUACAGCUGUCAGCCAUGAAGAGAAGGCGGGACGAGGACGAACAGGAGCAUUUGUGCUGCUGCGAGUAUGUCAACAGACACGGCAAGCGCAGCCACGUGGCGGCCUGCUGCUGCGACUGUGAGGACCUGGAUGACGCCUGUGACAGGUUUUUUAAGCGGGAGCCUCAGAAUCCAGAGUCUCUGUCUCACGUGGCUGCCGACAUCAGCGACCGAUUCCGCAUCCCCUGGCUCCGGGGCGGCGCCCGCAGAGUAGACCUGUCCGUCAUUCCUCCUCUGGUCCUCCUCCCGACACUGCUGCACCUCGCUGCGUUCCACUUCCUGGUCGGUGUGGCAGUUCUAAUCACUCUGCCGGGCUUGGUGCUGUGGUACUACUACUUCACCCACCGCAAAAAAGCCCGGACGCUUUUUUUCCUCAGCCUGGCACUCUUUUCCUUGGCGUACAUGUACUAUUUAUUCGUCUCGAAAGUGGUACCACGUGGGGGCAUCGGUGCCGUUCAGGUCGCCGUGGUAACCACGGGGGUCCUGCUGACCCUCCUCGGCCUCGCGCACACCAAGAGAGGCCCGGGCGUCGUGAAGCCAAACCAAGAGAUUGAUCCUGUUCUCCAAGAGCAGGUGGAAUGGGCACAAGAGGCAGAGCUCAACCGGAAGAACUGGUGUUCCGUGUGCCAGGUGGUACGGCCCCCCAGGGCGGGACAUUGUCGGAUAUGCGGGGUCUGCGUGCUGCGUCUUGACCACCACUGUGUCUGGAUUGACAGCUGCGUGGGCCGAGCUAACCACCGCAGCUUCCUGUUGACGCUCGUCCUCUUCUUGUCCACGUCCUUGUACGGGAUCAGCCUGGUGCUGCGGAGCGUGUGUCCUGAGCAAAACGUCCUCACCGCCCUGUUCUACUGCCCAGGAGUCUAUGAGGAGUACAGUGCCGCCCUGUGCUUCACUUGCGCCUGGUACUGCACGGCGGUGACCUGCGGCCUCCUCCACCUGUUGCUGACACAGCUGCUCAACAUCAGCUACAACGUGACGGAGCGCGAGGCGCGCGCCGCUGUCAGGGAGCGCUCCGGCCGCCGGGCCCUGUGCGGGCUCGUCGUGGAAACCGGCGUCUACUCGCGAGGCCUGCGCGCCAACUGGGUCGAGUUUUUGACCGUGGUGGACCAACAGACGCAUGUGUAAGAGCAGCGUCGCUAUUCUGCUUUUGUCCACUGGAGGACAGCAUGGUGCCUUACAAGCACUGUUAGGCUUGGUUGCAUUCCUUCAGUGCUGUGAUGGUGACUUCUGUAGAAAGCCGGUUGAGCCUUUGCAGUGCCAUCCAGGGAGCGCAGGCGACAAGUGAUGCGUGAAAGUCAUUCAUUUCAACAUCCAUCCCGCAUUAGAGGCUUCAUCUCGCCGAGAUGAGGCCUGAUUGGCAUACCUACCUCUGACAAGAACGCCACAUGUAGUCAGGCGCAGUAUUUUUCUGCAGAGGACAGGUACGAAUAUACAAAUACUUUAGAUGUUCUGGGUCUCCUUCUUUCCAAAAACAUGUUGGGUUCAAUGAUGACUCUAUAUCAGGGGUGGGGAAAUUAGAGCUGGCUGGCCACAUACGACUAUCAUUUAGCUCUUUAAAUAGUUCAUUCAUUUAAUGGAAAUAAUACAAUCUAAAAUGGUAAAAUAAAAAAUGUAUAGACAUUUAUUGUUUUAAAUAGUUGGCUCCUUAAUUAUUUUUAAAAUAAAUUCAACAUUUAAAAAGAAUCAUUUUAACUAUUUUACAAAUUUCAGAUGCACCUCUGACCUGUGGCCCUUGUUUGGCCAACCCUGCUCUAAAUUUUCCGUUAUGUUGUCUGUGCCCAGCAGGAUCAUGCAAAAAGUACUGAGUACUCAUAACAUACUGGUAUUCAGGGGUGCUUUCUGGCUUGUGCAUUAUAUGCGGCUGCUCAGGGUAGGAUUGCUGGUGGUGGGGGGGGGGCGGGCAUCACCGCAUACCAAAAUAAAUUGUAAAAAGUGCUACGUGAAAUGGUUUUCUGUUGUUUUAAUGUCCUCUGGAGAAGAGAUUGCAGGGAGACGCACUGUUUCUCAGUACAUUUGAACCUCAGGGCUGAAUCAUGAAGCAUGUCAUGUUCAGGUGAACAAAUCUUUUUAUUAAACUGAGUCUAGCGAUAGAGCAUCUUUGAGAAAACUGCUAUCACUACCACAGUGAGGAAAGGAACAGGGUGGUCAAUAAACGGAACACCAACCUAAGUCACGGUACAAACAAAAUGACAGCACUACUCGUAACAAGCUGGUAACACACACAACUAAUACUACAAACAUGGGGAAACUGCAAACAACUUUAGGCUAUUGCUACACAACUCUUGCCUUAUUUUGUAAUUGAGAUCGAUGUCUUAUUAUUUUAGAAAAUAAGGACAAUGUUGGAAAGAGUGUCAGUUUUGACAAAAAAAACAACAACAACUGAAGACCUUUUUGUUUCGCAAUGGUUGAUGUAACAUUGGACUUGGACUCAUUGACAUUGUAUGGCUUUAACUGUGUGUACGUUAUUUAUUUCUCAAUAAAUGAUUGACGACUUGCUGUGUUACUGA